CAUUAAAAUAUAUUUUAUCCAGAACUCGUCAGUCUUUCAUGUCUUGGGAGAGAGAAAAAAAAUUUCAAAAUGAAGACUCCAAUCGAAAACUCACUCGACACCCCCUCACCAGUCAUUUGCCACAUCAACGACUUCGAAAUCGCACGGGAAAGUGGUGGGUCGAUGGCUGACGAGUCGGUCGAUUGGAUUUUUUUUUUACUCACCUUUGGUUAUUCAACUCCACUUUUUAUUAUCAACAAUCAACACUUUCAAGGCGGAGAUAUUAUUAUAAUGU